GAUGAACGCUAGCGGGAGGCCUAACACAUGCAAGCCGAGCGGUAUUUCUUCUUCGGAAGAGAGAGAGCGGCGUACGGGUGCGUAACACGUGUGCAACCUACCUUUAUCUGGGAGAUAGCCUUUCGAAAGGAAGAUUAAUAUCCCAUAAUAUAUUUGAUGGCAUCAUUAGAUAUUGAAAGCUCCGGCGGAUAGAGAUGGGCACGCGCAAGAUUAGAUAGUUGGUGAGGUAACGGCUCACCAAGUCUGUGAUCUUUAGGGGUCCUGAGAGGGAGAUCCCCCACACUGGUACUGAGACACGGACCAGACUCCUACGGGAGGCAGCAGUGAGGAAUAUUGGACAAUGGGUGAAAGCCUGAUCCAGCCAUCCCGCGUGAAGGAUGACGGUCCUAUGGAUUGUAAACUUCUUUUGUACAGGGAUAAACCUACUCUCGUGAGGGUAGCUGAAGGUACUGUACGAAUAAGCACCGGCUAACUCC
rnacentral:rRNA from 1 species